AGAGCCACUGAGUGCACAGACCGGUGUUGGUCUCGGCUCUGAGCCUCGGAGUUGUAAGGUUUCCACACGACUGGCAAGUGAAAGGUCACCGUCCCAACCAACCAAGCGGUCUAGCAGGAGGACUUCCCUUUCUUCUAGUCCUGGGGCAUAGCAGGACCUUGGGGGAACUCAUCUGGAGGAAACAGCUACAGAGAAGCAUCGGCAGUGGGCUGAGCGGUCCUGAGGAAUUUCUGGAGGAGCCCUUGUGUCUGCGUCUCUUUCUCCAGGCAACUUCACCAAGCAGCAUCUGAUGUGUCAGGCUGGAGUCAUCGCAAGCUGCAAGACACUGAAGAUCAGGAGAUGAAGCCACAAUCUUAUCCUUUCCUGCAUCCUUAUCCCCACCCAGACCCUCGAGUACCCCAGAGACUUUGGAGAUCCGGAUGAAAAUCAACUUAACUCAGGAGACACCUAGUUUAGGCUUAUAGUCAUGUGGUUUGCUGUCGCUUCUGUGGGUAGUCUGAUAAUUGCUAAUCAUCUUGGUGUGGAAAUUGCUUCCAGGAACAUUGGUAGCACUUUCUGUGCCGACUGUCUCGUGUGACAAGGAAUAUUGUGACAUAAAGGCUCCGGGCCAGAGGCCGUGUCACGACAUGAAUGCACCUUGUGGUGCCCAAAUGACGGCAGAGAAGCCACGUUUGAAAUGGACAUAGACAAUCCCCCCACCCCCAUCUCCUGAAUUUUGAAUCCAGAAUGCAGGUAUCUUGAUCCAAAGAAUGAUAAACUGUACCUAGCCCCUUUGUGUUCCAUAAAGCAGGAACAGAUUUUAGCAUUCAGAAAUAAGUGCUGGUGGCACUUCACUGCCAGGCUUUCUUCUCUGGACACAUAUGUAAGUAAAUCAAGGUUGUGUUGAA
rnacentral:lncRNA from 1 species